rnacentral:rRNA from 1 species
AGUGAACGCUGGCGGUAGGCCUAACACAUGCAAGUCGAACGGCAGCACAGUAAGAGCUUGCUCUUACGGGUGGCGAGUGGCGGACGGGUGAGGAAUACAUCGGAAUCUACUUUUUCGUGGGGGAUAACGUAGGGAAACUUACGCUAAUACCGCAUACGCCCUACGGGUGAAAGCAGGGGUUCUUCGGACCUUUCGCGAUUGAAUGAGCCGAUGUCGGAUUAGCUAGUUGGCGGGGUAAAGGCCCACCAAGGCGACGAUCCGUAGCUGGUCUGAGAGGAUGAUCAGCCACCAUGGAACUGCGGCGCGGUCCAGACUCCUACGGGAGGCAGCAGUGGGGAAUAUUAGACAAUGGGCGCAAGCCUGAUGCAGCCAUACCGCGUGGGUGAAGAAGGCCUUCGGGUUGUAGAGCCCUUUUGUUGGGAAAGAAAAGCAGCAGGUUAAUACCCCGCUGUUCUGACGGUACCCAAAGAAUAAGCACCGGCUAACUUCGUG